GGAAAGCAACGACCUAAGUAUUACGGUAAACCGGGACUCCUCGUUACCCACAGAUUGUCUAGCAGGGUUAAGAGUAGUCGAGCAGAAAAUCUUAAACGCCUUAUGUGAAGCCUCCAUUGUGUUUGAGCAUCUCUCCGGGCCCCAUCCUGAUGUUCAGUUUGUUGUUAAGCAUGUAAAUAAGUACACAUCCUAUUUAACUUCGGUCCGUAAUACUUUGCGUUCUCACAUUAAUAAUUUAACUACCAACGUUCCAAACUGUAGAACAACUUAUGGCGAGGAAAAAGAUUUUGAAAUAGAAACUUGGAGAGUUGAUCUUGUAGAGAAAAAAGUAAACUUUUUAUUAGAGCUUAUUCCAAAAGAUUUAGAAGAGCGCCACAACAAUAAGUUCAAAAGUAACGA